AUUGAACGCUAGCGGCAGGCCUAACACAUGCAAGUCGAGCGAGCGGCGGACGGGUGAGUAAUGUAUGGGGACUGCCCGAUAGAGGGGGAUAACUACUGGAAACGGUAGCUAAUACCGCAUACUAUCGGAUAACCCAUAUGGGAUUAGCUAGUAGGUGUGGUAAUGGCUCACCUAGGCGACGAGCCCUAGCUGGUCUGAGAGGAGGAGCAGCCACACUGUGAUUGAGACAAGGCCCAGACUCCGACGGAGGCAGCAGGGGGGAAUAUUGCACAAUGGGCGCAAGCCUGAUGCAGCCAUGCCGGGUGUAUGAAGAAGGCCCUAGGGUUGUAAAGUACUUUCAGUCGGGAGGCGUUACCGACAGAAGAAGCACCGGCUAACUCCGUGCCAGCAGCCGCGGUAAUAC
rnacentral:rRNA from 1 species